GACGGGCUGCGGGGUGCGUCAGGUCGCGUCGAUCCCUGGGGCCAAUACGAACCUCUAGGGAGCUGUCCCUGCCGGGGCCCUGGUCCCGGCACUACGGCGCCCACCUGUCUCGGACAGGCCACAGAGGAUGAUCAUAGACCAACGGCCUUCGCGGCUCCCCU
rnacentral:other from 2 species